UGUGACAGGUCAGUGUGAUUGGACCAUUUGAUUACCAAGUCCAGACUCUAGAGUGACUCAGUGGCCAAUGCUGCUUUUUUAAACUGUUAACUGAAACAUUGGUACGACAGAAGAUCUAUGAAUAAAAGACCUAAAAUCCUUUUAAACGUACUAUUUAUUGGGACAUCCUGAAGGACUGGGGGAAUCCUUGUUCCUGUAUCAUCUCCCAUCUUGCACUUGUUGAUAAUUGUUCGACAUUCAUUCGGCAUUUACUGGAAGCUUCCAGAUGGCGGACAGCGUGCAAGGUGUCUGAGAUGGCAGAAGGAAAAUACAGAGGAACAGGCUGUAUCUCCUCACUUGGUAAUAACAACAGCUAACAGUGAAUGCUCAUUUAGUGUUUACCACGUGUCAGACUUGUUCGGAGAGAUAUAUUUCUUUUCCCUUAAUCCUUAUAACAGCCGUAUGAAUCAGUACUAUUAUUGUCCCCACUAUACGGUGGAUGACACUGGCAAACAGAGAGAUUGAGUAACUUGCCAGGUAAUAGCCUUGCAAGGAAUUUAUGGUCUGAGUAUACAUUGUUGAGUACCUCCCUUUUUAGGGUAAGGCAGCGAUGAAUGGGGUAUAGGGAAGCAAAAGGUGACUCAGGUUGAGUGUUUGCUGUAAACUGACACCCAGAGUAUCUGACUCAAGAAAUUCUUCAGUCUGUGAUCCGAAGAGAAUUAUGGAAUGAUAGGAAAUAAUUAAGCACAGCAAAAUGCUGGAAAUAUUUACCAGCAGUGGCAAUCCAGUUUAAUUUUAUGUCCAGGACCACAGCCCUACAUCUUCCUUUCAAUAUACAUUAUCAGGGUUAAUGUAUAUAGUCAAUCCAAUAACACUGUUUUCUCCCCUCUCUCUGCUUUGGUAGGGGUACCUGUAUGAAGGCUGCUUCACUCUGGAGGUUUGGACCUGUGUGGGCAUGUCUGGUAAAAUGAUAGGAGGAUCUGCUGGGAGAGGACUUGCAGAAUACUGGGGACCUUAGCAAGAAAAUUCCUGAAAGUGGAAGACUGUAGAAAUGGUAAUAAGGCCUCAGCUGUUAUAAGAGAGGGGUGACUUCAGUACUUGUGGUAAAGAGGCAGGAUAGGUAGGGUCAAGGGGUAAGAAAUACAGGAGAUAUAUUUGUGUAGAUCACUUAACAGUAGUAUGUAAUCAGUAAAUACUCAUUAUUAUUUGUAUUAUAGUACUCACCCCAGGCUGUCCCUAUAAAAACUCAUAUGCAGAGACCUAAGAGACAAAGUGUGAAGAUGCCAGAGGUCUUCAUCAGACCAUAUAGAUGUCCUUUAAUGAACUUAUAGAUUGCUAAAUGUUACCAACAAAUGUUAAUAAUGAUAAGUGGUGGUAGAUAAUAUCAUUAUUGCUUUUAUCUCCAUUUUUUGUUGUCAUUAAUUUUAUAUUGUGGUCAGUUGGAAAACAGGAUUUAAUUUUGAAAAUAUUCAAAUAUUUAAGGAGAUUUUUCUUUUUUUUAUCAGUUUUUAUUUUAUUUUAAAUUUUAUUUUUUAUUUUUUAAAAUUUACAUCCAAAUUAGCAUAUCGUGCAGCAAUGAUUUCAGGAGGAGAUUCCUUAGUGCCCCUUCCCCAUUUAGCCCAUGCCCCCUCCCACAACCCCUCCAGUAACCCUCUGUUUGUUCUCCAUGUUUAUGAGUCUCUUCUGUUUUGUCCCCCUCCCUGCUUUUAUAUUAUUUUUGUUUCCCUUCCCUUAUGUUCAUCUGUCUUGUCUCUUAAAGUCCUUAUAGCAGUGAAGUCAUAUGAUUUUUGUCUUUCUCUGACUAAUUUCGCUUAGCAUAUUACCCUCCAGUUCCAUCCACGUAGUUGCAUUAAGUAGAUUUUUCUAAGCAGAAAGAGGAACGACAUUCACGCAAAUAGGCAAGGAACUUAAUUGUCAUUGGUGGGCAUUAUGGAUUUUGCAUUCUUACAGAAGCAAACUCAUGAACUGUGAUUUUAUUAUCACAGAAAUUAAUUUCUUGCUAAGAGUCACUUUCUGCUUUUCUCAGCAUUUGAUAUAUGCAAGAUCAUUAUUUCCUGUAUCCACCCUAAAUAGCUUACUUCUUUCCAGGCAAGUAGAGAUUUCAGAAAAGACGAUGGGGAAAUUCUUUUCCUUCUGAUUGGUUCUUUGGCCCUUUUCAUACCCCUCCCCCACUCCCUGCAGGGGGUGGUCAUUAAAAUGCCUCAGACAACUGUGGAGCCUUCAGGAUGGUAGCUGCGAUAUGAUCAUGUUACACACCCAUUCAAAGUUCUCUGCUCCAGGGUCAAGGUUUGGAUGAUGUCACACAGCCUGUGGAUCUCCUGCCUCCUGGACUGGUUUCUCUGUUGUGAGAAGGAUAGGAAAUGAGAGAAAGAUGAACCCACUGGCGUCCUUAGUCUACAUCAACUGAGGUGGGACAAAAACAGCACUGUACUUGGUCUGUGCUCUGUGCCCUGAAGCAGAAAUGCCUUUAAUUGUUCAUUGCAAAAUAGAUGUCUAGUGGAGAAGGUUAUUAAACAUAUUUUGUGCAUUUUGGGAGAACUGGAGGUCAGGAUGGCUUGACCUAGCAUCUCACAGCAAACCCAAGUCAAGUAAGCCACCAAGGUAACAUAGCCUAUUCUUAGGGCAAAAUUUUCUGGUUGGCUAAUUUCUGGAUAUUAUUAAAAGGGACAGUACAUUUUGAAAAUAGAAUGAUGGCCAUCCUCAGGCAGGAGAAUUCUACUUUAAAAACAGAAGAUUUAAUGUGCCAGAUUCAAAUCAUAAGGAAAGGCUGCCCAGUUAAUAGGACAAAUGCCUCCACAUUGUAAAAUAAACAGGAUUUGAAAUGCAGACAGUCUUAUUUUGCAGUUACAAGUUAUUUAAAAAUCUUUAUAAAGACCUAAUAAUAAAAGAAUAAAAUGUUUAACAGCAAGUCCACAAGAACGCAUUAGUCAUAAGGUACAUCUUAAUUAAGGCCUCUCUUCUACUUACUUCAACAGGUGGCCUAGGAAGGGGGUGGUCCCAUGAGCUCUAGCAGCCAGGGGCCCGGGACCUCACUCUGGGAGACAGCCAGGGCAAAGGAACCAGCUGACCUUUCUCUGGCGCAAAGUGGCCUGGUGAGAUCCAGAAUUAAACUUUCUCUCUACAAUGACCUGUUCAGACGGCAAAUAGAUCCAUCAUCUGGUUCUCGGCCCUGCGGAAGACACCCGCCCCCCACCCCCUCACCCCCCCCACCCCGCCCACGACUGCGUGGUGCGCCAUUUACACCGACUCCGGCCCUUCAGCAGGUGGCGCUGUUUGCUCUAUUCCCGCCGCUUGGCGUUCCCUUCCUUUCUAGAGCACGGUCCCCUUCCUUUUUUUCAGUCCAUAUGUAACGGCUGCCUCUUUUACAUCGUCUCUUGGGAGGUACUCUCCCAGUGAUCUUAGCACUGAGGAGGAGAAGCAAAUUAGCAACAUGGAACAACUCACGUUUUCAUGUUUGAUCUUUAAAGCCCUCAUCCCCUGAUCUAAUGAAUUGCCCCACUUAAGGGCACGCGAGUGAGCCUCAGAAAUCGUAUUGUUCACUCAUCCCUGUCUUCCCCUAUCCUCCACCCUACUUAUCGUCCCUCCUUAGGCAGCCUUCCCUUCUCUUCAUUCACCCCUGCCUAAGGCUUCAAAAUACUAUUAAAAGUAUCUCUAAACCAAAUUUCUCUCUGAUCAACUUCUUCAGGUGUUUAUAAAAGUGAAGUUUUCUUCCCAUCCUUAAUCACGGAUGGAGCAGUACGAAUUUUCCCAGGCUGCCAUCCCGCGUCCCUCAUCGAGUAGCUAUGUAAUCUGGGCCUAAAAACCCCUUGUAAAAUGGGAUUGGUGGACCAAGAGACUUUGAGGCGUCUUCUAGCUCUCAUACUCUGGGAUUACAAAGCGGUUUGCCACUGCCUUAAAUAAUAGUUGUACUGUGAUACCAGAUGAUUGUUUCUGAUAUUUUCUUUGAGCAGGAAAAGUUGUUAAGUAGCACAAAGAGUCAGUGGAGGCAGUUGAUCUAGGGAGAGAGGGUAUUUGGGGUAAGAUGUAACACGUCUUCCACACUAGCCAUCACUCAUGACAGAUAUUCUCAUGUAUUUCUGGGGUGCAGCAGAUACCAAAUAGGCAUUUAGGCAUAAAUUCUAGAACUUUCUUAGUGUGCUUAUU